UACAGAGGGGGCAAGCGUUAUUCGGAAUUAUUGGGCGUAAAGGGCGCGUAGGCGGCCCGGCAAGUGGAAGGUGAAAUCCCUCGGCUUAACCGAGGAACUGCCCUCCAAACUGCUAGGCUUGAGACCGGGAGAGGUGAGUGGAAUUCCCAGUGUAGCGGUGAAAUGCGUAGAUAUUGGGAGGAACACCAGUGGCGAAGGCGGCUCACUGGACCGGUAUUGACACUGAGGCACGAAAGCGUGGGGAUCAAACAGG
rnacentral:rRNA from 1 species